rnacentral:lncRNA from 1 species
CUGCGGCCUCUGCCACUGGUGUCAGCGCAAACUGGCAAACGCUACAAGAAUUCCUUGGAGACGGUGGGCACGCCAGACUCAGGGCGUGGGCGCAGUGAGAAGAAGGCUAUCAUGAUCUAGACAGAGACUUUUGGAAUAACAAUGAGAGCACAGUGCAGCAGAAAUGGAGCUCCUACCCUCCCAAGGAGUUUAUUCUAAACAUUUCACCCUACGCCCCUUAUGGCGACCCACGACUGUCCCUCAAGUGAGUGACU